GACGAACGCUGGCGGCGUGCUUAACACAUGCAAGUCGAACGAGAGCGUAGAGAAAGCUUGCUUUUUCUACAAUCUAGUGGCAAACGGGUGAGUAACGCGUAAACAACCUGCCCUACGGAUGGGGACAACAGCUGGAAACGGCUGCUAAUACCGAAUACGUUCCGAAAGUCGCAUGACUAUCGGAAGAAAGGAUGGCCUCUAUUUAUAAGCUAUCGCCGGAGGAGGGGUUUGCGUCUGAUUAGCUAGUUGGAGGGGUAACGGCCCACCAAGGCGGCGAUCAGUAGCCGGUCUGAGAGGAUGAACGGCCACAUUGGAACUGAGACACGGUCCAGACUCCUACGGGAGGCAGCAGUGGGGAAUCUUCCGCAAUGGGCGAAAGCCUGACGGAGCAACGCCGCGUGAGUGAAGACGGCCUUCGGGUUGUAAAGCUCUGUUAUACGGGACGAAUAAUCUUGUGGUUAAUACCCAUGAGAAGUGACGGUACCGUAAGAGAAAGCCACGGCUAACUACGUG
rnacentral:rRNA from 1 species